rnacentral:misc_RNA from 4 species
ACUUGCCCACGCGCCGAUUUGCCCUGGGCUUGCGGGCGCGUAACAAAUACCGCUAAAACAGCGCAGACCACCGGCGG